UAUCUCACCUUGGGUAACAUAUGUGAAAUCUAUUCUUUAAAUCGAUCCGCUGACACACAGCCAACCACAGUCAACCCAUCGUCGCCAACUGAGAAACUCUGCAUCAAGCCACACUUUCAGUGACACCUAACAGAGCCCGGAAAGGAAACAGCUGCAGAGAAAGAUCUCGCGGGACCUUCCGUGAUCACGGACACACCACCCCCAGAAUACUGCUUCCAGCAGAGGACGCUUUUGUGACCGAACAGACACGACCUGUGUAGCGCUGACAUGUGGUGGAAAGUUCCUCCUUCACUUGUAGUGGCACACACAGGACAUGGAAGUAUCUGCAGCCAGAAGAGGAGCCCGGAUCAAAGUGUCAUGGCCCAAUGGAAGCCUGUCCACCACUCACUGGUAGGCUCGUUCAUCCACCAUGACUCCCUGAGCACCUAUGACCUGCUGGCCCCGUCUUUAGGAGCCACCCAUGCAAAGAUAAAUACAAGACUCACUGCUGAGCCCUCUCUCAGUCUGGGGAGAGCGAGACGCCGAAAUUCAUAACCAGGAUGCGCUAUGGGAGGAGCCACAGCAGUGUUCUAAAGCAAGUGUCGUUGAUCUCAGUGACAAAUGGGAGUAACCCUGAAGGAGACGGGACAGUCGAGACAACUUUUGAGCUGCUGUAUCUUGAAGGGCUCGUUGGAGUCCCAGUGGAGAAGUGGAGGAGGAACCAGAGUAUUUACCGAACUGCGAACAGUCUCGCCUGGACGGAGCAUAGGAUCUAGGGCAUUGGAUGGAGGAGCUUACGGUAAGAGAUGGAAAGAAAGCUGGAAGGACAGGCUGAAGACAGACUCUGGGUGGCAAUUUCGAUGCCAUGCUGAACGUUGGAGCCAAAUGGAGGAUCUUUGGAGGUUUGUCACUGGGAGAAUACCAUGAUGUACAGAGUGUUUGUUUUAGACACUUUCCCUCGUGGCGAGGGAUUAGCAGGAAGUCAGACUGAGGUUGGACAAGAGUUCUCAGACUAUUAGCUCUUAGUCUGGAGGACGUGUGAGGGAGAGUGCAUGCUCCAGGCUUGAAAGACCAGUCCCAUCAUUGAGAGAAAGCCUACCACCGUCGAAGUAAAUUCCGUGUGGUUCUUAUUCAUUCAGCCAUCCCUCAGUCACUCCAGCAUUUACUCGUCAAGUCUUUACUGAGCACUUACUAUGUGCUAGACACCGGGGCUACAAAACACCCAUAGUUCUACCUUGUUGGAGUUUAGACUAAUGGAGAGGAUGACAACUAUAUCGGUGAUUAUAAUUGGGUUGAAUUCACCGGGACCCAAGUUAAACACAACAUUUAAAGAUCUGCAGUUCAAGGCAUGCUAAAAUAGUGCCCUUCAAUUCUCCUCGGCAUUGCCUGACUUCUAGCCCCUCGUGAUGUGUUGAAUGGAGGAAUGAAUAAAUGCAAAGAGGUGACGUCAUCCCCUCAGACUGGCAUGCCACCUGGGCCUCCUCUGGCUGUGGGGCUCUUGGAUUUUCAUCUCUGUUCGUGGGGAGAGGCAGUCUAACAGAGUGGGUGUUUGGAUGCUGAGAGAGGGAAAACCCACCUAGGUACCAGCUCCUACACCUUCUUAGCUGGGGGGAGUUGAGCAAAUUCCUUAACCUCUUUGAGUCUCAGUUUUCUUAUGUCAAAAAUAGGGAUGAUAAAAUCUCCCUCACAAGGAUAAUGUAUGAAGGACUACCUGUAACGGAUCACAAGGAUUUAGGCGGCAAGAUUAAAUGAAAGGACAUAUUUCAGGGCUAGGAAUAAUGGAACACAGUUAAGGGGUGAGUGUCGUGACUCUGUUGGGUCCACCUGUGUGACCUUCCUACCUACAGAGAACUUGAAUGAGCUUCAGAGUAAAUCCCUGACGAUGCCACUCCUCUACCCAAAACCUUAAAUGACUCCCCGUUGCUUUUUUCCUCGGUAUGACACUUAAGGUUCUCCGUGAUUGAGUCCCAAUCUGUCUUUCCAAUUUCAUGUCCCUCUGCCAACUUGGUGUCACUACAACUGCUCCCAGAGCCUCUGCUCCUUUGGUCUGCUAGGUCAAAGCACAUACACUGUAAAGUACUUAUAUAGUAGCCUGGACCCGUUGCCCUCUCAACCCCUCGCAAAACUCUCUGACUUAACGAUUACUUGGUAGAUU